GAUGAACGCUGGCGGCGUGCUUAACACAUGCAAGUCGAACGAAGCACCUUGAUUUGAUUCUUCGGAUGAAGAUCUUGGUGACUGAGUGGCGGACGGGUGAGUAACGCGUGGGUAACCUGCCUCAUACAGGGGGAUAACAGUUAGAAAUGACUGCUAAUACCGCAUAAGACCACAGCACCGCAUGGUGCAGGGGUAAAAACUCCGGUGGUAUGAGAUGGACCCGCGUCUGAUUAGGUAGUUGGUGGGGUAACGGCCUACCAAGCCGACGAUCAGUAGCCGAGCUGAGAGGGUGACCGGCCACAUUGGGACUGAGACACGGCCCAAACUCCUACGGGAGGCAGCAGUGGGGAAUAUUGCACAAUGGGGGAAAACCUGAUGCAGCGACGCCGCGUGAGCGAUGAAGUAUUUCGGUAUGUAAAGCUCUAUCAGCAGGGAAGAAAAUGACGGUACCUGACUAAGAAGCACCGGCUAAAUACGUG
rnacentral:rRNA from 1 species